UUGUCUAUGGUAUAACAAAUCAUAUAAACUAAUAAUGUAAUUUACAUUUAAUAAUUAGACAUAAUUUGUAUUGUUAAAGUAGGAAUUUAUUUUGAUGAAUUUUUUUAAAACCCAAUGUUUUUUUUUUUUUUGAGUAACGGUUCGUUUUGAUUCAUAAUAGGCUUAGAAGACCAAAAUAAAAGAACACAAAAUAUCUAAAGCAAAGCCUAUAAUGUUUCAACAGAACAGAAAAAGAAAACAAAACCCAACGUAAUCCAAAAACAACUUCCAGUCCCUUCGGUUACCAGCUAUUACAAAACGGCCAAGUCCUCCAAAAUCCGGGUUGAGUUUUACUUAUGGCGUGUGAAAAUUCUCAACCCGGAAUUUUAAAGAGCAGAAGAAAAGGCUAUGGUGGUCAAUCGAAACGUUGGUCAGAAUCUGCCAUUUCCAAAGCUGUUACUGGAGCGUCUUCAACCCAGAAAAAGUCUUCAAAUCUUUUCAACCCUUCGACUGCCAUUGCAUGCGCCGCAAAGUUCCCGUCUCUUGCAAUAAAUUCGAAUCUGCAUGAGGAAAAAUUCCUUGUUAGAGCCUUCGCAUCCCAGGUAAGGGGUUUAAUCUCCGAAUAAUCUUCUUUUGACAAUUGGAUAUUUUGAAUAACAGUUUAGUAGUGGCGAAUCUAGGGGGCUAGCAGGGCCCAGCCUCCCUAAAAUGUAAAAUUUCUAUUUAGGCCCUUGAGAUUUUUUAAAAAUUUUAAAUUAGUAAAGAUAAAAUUACACUUUGUCUCCCUUAAAAUUAUAAAAAUUCUAUUUAAUCUUUUAAAAUUUAUAAAGAUAUAGACUAUAAAAAAAAAAUUAAAAUUUCAUCCAACCCCCUAAAAAAUUAUUCUGGCUCCGCUCUUAUAGUUUAGAAUCAUUUUCUAGAAUAAUGUUCGAAAAGCCCAUCUUCGGCGCAAACUAUAGCCCAUGAAGAACCACUGUCGCUUCAGCUAACACCACCAAUCUAACCAGUUCUAAACCCUGAGCCCAUAAUGAGCCAUUCAUCAUUUCUUAUAAUAAAACCUGAUGCUGCAUGUUGUCUUGCUGCAGAAAAGCCUGUAUCAACAUUAAUUUUGACCCAAUUCGGAGGAGGGAGCACCCAUUUAUUCAAAUAUCUUAGUCUGGGAUGCUAUAAAAUUGACGAUAUCCACCGAAACUCCCUACCAAAGCCCCUGAUAAAGGUAACCACUCCUUCUAUGCUUUGCAUCUUUUGUUCAUGAACGAAUUUGUUGCGAGAAAACCAAAGUGCCCAAAUUGUAAUUGCAAUUUCAUCUUUCUUGUCACUGGCUGAAUUUUCAAAGAGCCAGUUUAACCAAUUAGUAAAACACAUAACUGCUACUGAAUUCGACCACAGAUAAUUUAAUUUGAACCAAACUUGCAAAGCAAACGUGCAAUCACGAACAACAUGGGUAGAAGAUUCACUACAACCCUAACAACGCGGACAUUUAUUAUCUGUCAUUAUUCUUCUAAAAUGUUAAUUCUGAAAUGUGGGAAUAUAAUUCUUCGCAAAUUUCCAUACUAAAAUGCGAUAUUUUUUAUGGACAUG
rnacentral:lncRNA from 1 species